GACGACGAUAAAUAGCUUUGCCCGAAAUGAAGAGGAGCAAAGCGUUUAAUAUCGGUAUUUGCCGAGCCGUGAGAACAUCUAAAUUUUUGAAUGGAUGAAAACAUCUUACAACAUGCACAGGCUGUCCUGAGAGACUAUUAAAUGAGGAUUGUUAGAGAGGAAUAUGCCAACAAGAACUGCAAUUAGGAGUCGUUGACAGGAGGAAACUUCUUAAAAGAGACCACACACUACCUCAUCAACAUGCUUGAAGAUGAUCUGAGCCUGAAGAGGGACAAAGGGCCUCGUGAUAGACUACCUUUCUCUCUGCAAGUAUUGACAAUUCUGCUUUUGUAUGCUGAUAAUUUCAGGGAAUACAUGGUGAUGAGGCAUCAGUGUUGCAAUUAUCUGUGAGUGAUCAAAGAUGUUUCACAAGCCAUAGCAAGAA
rnacentral:lncRNA from 1 species